GGGAUUGCCCUAGUAACGGCGAGUGAAGCGGCAACAGCUCAAAUUUGAAAUCUGGCGCAAGCCCGAGUUGUAAUUUGUAGAGGAUGCUUCUGGGUAGCGACCGAUCUAAGUUCCUUGGAACAGGACGUCAUAGAGGGUGAGAAUCCCGUAUGUGACCGGCCCGCACCCUUUACGUAGCUCCUUCGACGAGUCGAGUUGUUUGGGAAUGCAGCUCUAAAUGGGAGGUAAAUUUCUUCUAAAGCUAAAUACCGGCCAGAGACCGAUAGCGCACAAGUAGAGUGAUCGAAAGAUGAAAAGUACUUUGGAAAGAGAGUUAAAAAGCACGUGAAAUUGUUGAAAGGGAAGCGCCUGCAACCAGACUUCGCGGCAGUGUUCCGCCGGUCUUCUGACCGGUUCAUUCUCUGUCGCGAGGCCAUCAUCGUCUGGGCCCGCCGGAUAAGACCUUGGGAAUGUAGCUCACCUUCGGGGGAGUGUUAUAGCCUAGGGUGAUGCGGCGAGGCCCGGGCGAGGUCCGCGCUUCGGCAAGGAUGAUGGCGUAAUGGUUGUCGGCGGCCCGUCUUGAAACACGGACCAAGGAGUCUAACAUCUAUGCGAGUGUUCGGGUGUCAAACCCCUACGCGUAAUGAAAGUGAACGGAGGUGGGAACCGCAAGGUGCACCAUCGACCGAUCCUGAUGUCCUCGGAUGGAUUUGAGUAAGAGCAUAGCUGUUGGGACCCGAAAGAUGGUGAACUAUGCCUGGAUAGGGUGAAGCCAGAGGAAACUCUGGUGGAGGCUCGCAGCGGUUCUGACGUGCAAAUCGAUCGUCAAAUUUGGGUAUAGGGGCG
rnacentral:rRNA from 1 species